AGGGGCUCCGCCGCGAUGGCCGCGGUGGCCUCCUUCAGGCUCUUCUUUAGGUCACUCAGUUCCCUGGACAUGUUUAGCAGCUGUUUAAAAAAAAGGUAUUUUUACUGGGUUUAGGUGCCUGCUGGACUUUCCAUCCCCAAAGGAGAAGGAUGUGUGUGAGGUCUGGUGAAGCACGAGCUCAGGAUGGUGGUAAAGGGACGCGGGCAGAUGGAACCGUGCUUGGUGUGCGGAAGGCUUUGGGGAGGCAGGCCUUGAAUACCUAUGUAGCAACAGCUGGGAUGUGCUCUUCUGUGAAAGAUUGAGGCUCCUUUUAAAAUGUUUUCUAUUUAAACAGAAGGACUUGCCUAGAAGUUAAAUGCAGAAGAGAACAGCUUUGGGAGCUGGGUAGAGCUGCGUGCAGAUGCCAGUUCUACGUUCUCGACGGGUGCAGACUCAAGCAAAUGCUUUUAUGUGCCUCAGUUUGUUCAACUAUGAGACUGAAAUAUCAUCCACGCUGCAGAUAUUUUUGAGAUUCAAAUUUGGCACAGAAGUGCCCAACAUAGCUUGCUUGUCGCACAGGGUAGAGAACUGAAGCCUUUGGGGCCCAUCUGCCUGCACCGAGAUGCCUGUUAAACCCAACUGUCUACUCCAGCCCCAGGCUGAAAGUGCAAUGAGCAAAGGCAGAUCUGAGCAUCCUGUCGGUACCUGCCAGAAGAGUAAGUUUUACCCUGACGGUGAGGCAAACAACAGUCCACCCUGCCUUCUCUUUGAUCCUCUGUGACUGUGGAUGGAAACUGGUUGCGAAGAGCUCUUCAUAAACAAACAUGUCUGACUCCUGCCUGCCUUGAAAUGGGCGUUUCUGGAAGGACCAUUGACCCUUGAACAACGUGAGACCUGAUGGUUCCUGGGCUCCAUCCUCGCCUGGCUGCAGACCCUCCUAUCUGACCCCCUGCAAGACAGCGUCACCCCUGCUGUGCCCAGCAGGCAGGAGGCCUGAGUGUGGAUGGACAGUCACCUCGGUCCUCAUCCAUCACGGGGUCAGGCAUGGCACCGCCGUCACUGCGUCUGUCUGUGACGGGACCUGAGCAUCACCCCCUUUCUCUCUCUCCCUCUCGUUUCAGUGACCUUUUGUCCUAAACAUCUCCCCCAGGUCCUGCUUCCUCCCUGUCCCUAGCAUUUCUGUCCUGGUUCAAACUCUGAUCUGAGCUUUUCAUCAGCCUCAUAACUGGUCCCCCGUCUCCCCUCCAGUUGUCAUCAAAUCCACCCUCCACAUCCCGGCCAGAAAGAUGUAACGACACACUCCAAGGCGGGGCAUCGCCUGCGAGCUCCCUCAUCUCAUCUCCUGGGCCUCCGUCCACUGGUCCUUCGGGGGUGGCCUCUGUUUUCUAGAAAUACCUAAGUGCCUGCCCGCCUUGCUCUGUUUCUCACGGGCACGUUUAUGCCCAGGCUGCUGCUUCCUGUCGGAACGUUCCUCCUUGGCUCCACUUCAUCGCUCCAGCCCAGCCUGAAAAAGUCAGCUCAGGUGCGAGUGCCUCCCGAAAGUAGCCUCUCCGAAGCGCCUGGCCUCCAGGGGACCGAGGCCCCGGCGCUCCGCGCUUCCGUCGCAUCCAGCGCAGCCUGAGUGCACGUGCUACGCUGCGGGAGGCUCUUUGCACUGCUGGGAAAGUUUUAGCUCACGCAGAAACAGGAUGCUCAAGUCGUUGGACCUUUUCCACGUUAACAUAGGAACACAUCCCCGUGCUAAGCUGGGCAGGGAGGCUGAAGAGAAUCACACAUCGUCCACCCCUUUCCUUAGCUCUAAGUCGGUCAAGCAGGAACAGCUCGAGAUGAGAAAAACCGUAACACCAGGCACUUUUUCAAAUGAGGACCCUCAGGCUCUGGGCCAGGGUCAGGGACAGCCCCUCGGCCCAGCACGGAGGAGGGGCCCCCUCACGUCGUCCUUACCUUUAUGGCAGCGAUGGCCCUUGCCUGGGUCCCCUCGUGCUGGACCCUCGUCCUCAAGCCUAGUGCUGGCAUGAAACGAGUAUGUGGGAAUAAAGUCAUCUGGACAUUUGCGGACGGGUAGGGGGAGAAGAGAAGGAAAGGCGGACACUCCUGGCAGGACCUGCGGUCGGGAGAGGGUGGGCUCACCUCGGGCGUGGAGCUGACUU